rnacentral:rRNA from 14 species
UACGGAGUUACAAAGGACGACAUUAGACGAAUCAUCUGGAAAGAUGAAUCAAAGAAGGUAAUAAUCCUGUAGUCGAAAAUGUUGUCUCUCUUGAGUGGAUCCUGAGUACGACGGAGCACGUGAAAUUCCGUCGGAAUCUGGGAGGACCAUCUCCUAAGGCUAAAUACUCUCUAGUGACCGAUAGUGAACCAGUACCGUGAGGGAAAGGUGAAAAGCACCCCGGAAGGGGAGUGAAAUAGAACCUGAAACCGUGUGCUUACAAGUAGUCAGAGCCCGUUAAUGGGUGAUGGCGUGCCUUUUGUAGAAUGAACCGGCGAGUUACGAUUUGAUGCAAGGUUAAGCAGUAAAUGUGGAGCCGUAGCGAAAGCGAGUCUGAAUAGGGCGUUUAGUAUUUGGUCGUAGACCCGAAACCAGGUGAUCUACCCUUGGUCAGGUUGAAGUUCAGGUAACACUGAAUGGAGGACCGAACCGACUUACGUUGAAAAGUGAGCGGAUGAACUGAGGGUAGCGGAGAAAUUCCAAUCGAACCUGGAGAUAGCUGGUUCUCUCCGAAAUAGCUUUAGGGCUAGCCUCAAGUGAUGAUUAUUGGAGGUAGAGCACUGUUUGGACGAGGGGCCCCUCUCGGGUUACCGAAUUCAGACAAACUCCGAAUGCCAAUUAAUUUAACUUGGGAGUCAGAACAUGGGUGAUAAGGUCCGUGUUCGAAAGGGAAACAGCCCAGACCACCAGCUAAGGUCCCAAAAUAUAUGUUAAGUGGAAAAGGAUGUGGCGUUGCCCAGACAACUAGGAUGUUGGCUUAGAAGCAGCCAUCAUUUAAAGAGUGCGUAAUAGCUCACUAGUCGAGUGACACUGCGCCGAAAAUGUACCGGGGCUAAACAUAUUACCGAAGCUGUGGAUUGUCCUUUGGACAAUGGUAGGAGAGCGUUCUAAGGGCGUUGAAGCAUGAUCGUAAGGACAUGUGGAGCGCUUAGAAGUGAGAAUGCCGGUGUGAGUAGCGAAAGACGGGUGAGAAUCCCGUCCACCGAUUGACUAAGGUUUCCAGAGGAAGGCUCGUCCGCUCUGGGUUAGUCGGGUCCUAAGCUGAGGCCGACAGGCGUAGGCGAUGGAUAACAGGUUGAUAUUCCUGUACCACCUAUAAUCGUUUUAAUCGAUGGGGGGACGCAGUAGGAUAGGCGAAGCGUGCGAUUGGAUUGCACGUCUAAGCAGUAAGGCUGAGUAUUAGGCAAAUCCGGUACUCGUUAAGGCUGAGCUGUGAUGGGGAGAAGACAUUGAGUCUUCGAGUCGUUGAUUUCACACUGCCGAGAAAAGCCUCUAGAUAGAAAAUAGGUGCCCGUACCGCAAACCGACACAGGUAGUCAAGAUGAGAAUUCUAAGGUGAGCGAGCGAACUCUCGUUAAGGAACUCGGCAAAAUGACCCCGUAACUUCGGGAGAAGGGGUGCUCUUUAGGGUUAACGCCCAGAAGAGCCGCAGUGAAUAGGCCCAAGCGACUGUUUAUCAAAAACACAGGUCUCUGCUAAACCGUAAGGUGAUGUAUAGGGGCUGACGCCUGCCCGGUGCUGGAAGGUUAAGAGGAGUGGUUAGCUUCUGCGAAGCUACGAAUCGAAGCCCCAGUAAACGGCGGCCGUAACUAUAACGGUCCUAAGGUAGCGAAAUUCCUUGUCGGGUAAGUUCCGACCCGCACGAAAGGCGUAACGAUUUGGGCACUGUCUCAACGAGAGACUCGGUGAAAUCAUAGUACCUGUGAAGAUGCAGGUUACCCGCGACAGGACGGAAAGACCCCGUGGAGCUUUACUGUAGCCUGAUAUUGAAAUUCGGCACAGCUUGUACAGGAUAGGUAGGAGCCUUUGAAACGUGAGCGCUAGCUUACGUGGAGGCGCUGGUGGGAUACUACCCUAGCUGUGUUGGCUUUCUAACCCGCACCACUUAUCGUGGUGGGAGACAGUGUCAGGCGGGCAGUUUGACUGGGGCGGUCGCCUCCUAAAAGGUAACGGAGGCGCUCAAAGGUUCCCUCAGAAUGGUUGGAAAUCAUUCAUAGAGUGUAAAGGCAUAAGGGAGCUUGACUGCGAGACCUACAAGUCGAGCAGGGUCGAAAGACGGACUUAGUGAUCCGGUGGUUCCGCAUGGAAGGGCCAUCGCUCAACGGAUAAAAGCUACCCCGGGGAUAACAGGCUUAUCUCCCCCAAGAGUUCACAUCGACGGGGAGGUUUGGCACCUCGAUGUCGGCUCAUCGCAUCCUGGGGCUGUAGUCGGUCCCAAGGGUUGGGCUGUUCGCCCAUUAAAGCGGUACGCGAGCUGGGUUCAGAACGUCGUGAGACAGUUCGGUCCCUAUCCGUCGUGGGCGUAGGAAAUUUGAGAGGAGCUGUCCUUAGUACGAGAGGACCGGGAUGGACAUACCUCUGGUGUACCAGUUGUCGUGCCAACGGCAUAGCUGGGUAGCUAUGUGUGGACGGGAUAAGUGCUGAAAGCAUCUAAGCAUGAAGCCCCCCUCAAGAUGAGAUUUCCCAACUUCGGUUAUAAGAUCCCUCAAAGAUGAUGAGGUUAAUAGGUUCGAGGUGGAAGCAUGGUGACAUGUGGAGCUGACGAAUACUAAUCGAUCGAAGACUUAAUCAA